rnacentral:rRNA from 1 species
AAUCAACGCUGGCGGCGUGCCUCAGACAUGCAAGUCGAACGAUUAAAGCUCUCUUCGGAGAGUGUAUAGAGUGGCGCACGGGUGAGUAACACGUAAGUAAUCUACCUUUGAGUGGGGAAUAACAGUCGGAAACGGCUGCUAAUACCGCAUAACGCAGCGGCACCGCAAGGUGACAGUUGUUAAAGGAGCAAUCCGCUUAAAGAGGAGCUUGCGGCAGAUAGCUUGUUGGUAAGGUAACGGCUUACCAAGGCUACGAUCUGUAUCCGGUCUAAGAGGACGGUCGGACACACUGACACUGAAUAACGGGUCAGACUCCUACGGGAGGCAGCAGUCGGAAUUUUGGGCAAUGGGCGAAAGCCUGACCCAGCAACGCCGCGU